UAAUUCACGGAUUAUUGAUAGAUGGCCAACAAAAUGCAUAAUAGAAGUCAACUGUGGAAGUCGUCUAAAACUGGUAAAAAUAUAUUAGUAACCGCCAAAACGAUGACGAAGGAUUUAAAGACUUCUGAAAUUGUCGUCAUUUCCAAUCUAAGUCGGUCGUAGAGUAGAAGUUAGUCCGGUGAUCUCAGUUUUUAUAAAGUUAUAAUUCAAGAAUCAGGUGUUACCCAUCACUAAGGGCGAAAACUCUGCUCUAGUGAGCUGUAAUUUCAAUUACAAAGCGUCCAGCGGACGCCGUUUGUACGAGCUACAAGCUAGCCAUCGCAUUCCGCCAUCUUGGCGCAUUUAAGGCGCACGUGGUACCAUACCGAAGAGGACCUCGCCACGGCCCGCCAGUGACUGGUAGACAAACGGGGACAGAGGAAGACCGGCCUGCCUGCGUCCGCUCGCGGAUGAUCGGGUAGAGUACCGAGAAGACCGACGCCCUCCCCCGCAACUUUAUUUCGGCCUACCUUUGUAGCGAGGAUCCCCGGUGACGCAACGGUUAUAAGACGUCAGGACCUAUCGACAUCUAGUACGCUAGUUGUUGUGCUGCCAAUUCAUCGCACGGAAACGGUGCGUCCCGGUUGACGAACCGCAACGAUCGAAUUGAAAACCCCUGCGCAGGUAUGUCCGUUCCAUGGCCAUGGUUAAACACACACGCACACCCUUUCCCUACACUUCACACUAUCACGGAAAAAUGAAUCAAUAUAAGCAAGAA